AGUGAACGCUGGCGGUAGGCCUAACACAUGCAAGUCGAACGGCAACACAGUAAGAGCUUGCUCUUACGGGUGGCGAGUGGCGGACGGGUGAGGAAUACAUCGGAAUCUACUUUUUCGUGGGGGAUAACGUAGGGAAACUUACGCUAAUACCGCAUACGACCUACGGGUGAAAGCAGGGGAUCUUCGGACCUUGCGCGAUUGAAUGAGCCGAUGUCGGAUUAGCUAGUUGGCGGGGUAAAGGCCCACCAAGGCGACGAUCCGUAGCUGGUCUGAGAGGAUGAUCAGCCACACUGGAACUGAGACACGGUCCAGACUCCUACGGGAGGCAGCAGUGGGGAAUAUUGGACAAAGGGCGCAAGCCUGAUCCAGCCAUACCGCGUGGGUGAAGAAGGCCUUCGGGUUGUAAAGCCCUUUUGUUGGGAAAGAAAAGCAGCAGGUUAAUACCCCGCUGUUCUGACGGUACCCAAAGAAUAAGCACCGGCUAACUUCGUG
rnacentral:rRNA from 1 species